rnacentral:rRNA from 1 species
GAUGAACGCUGGCGGCGUGCCUAAUACAUGCAAGUAGAACGCUGAAGGAGGAGCUUGCUCUUCUGGAUGAGUUGCGAACGGGUGAGUAACGCGUAGGUAACCUGCCUGGUAGCGGGGGAUAACUAUUGGAAACGAUAGCUAAUACCGCAUGACAACAGUUAUUGCAUGAUAACUGUUUAAAAGGGGCAACUGCUCCACUACCAGAUGGACCUGCGUUGUAUUAGCUAGUUGGUGAGGUAACGGCUCACCAAGGCGACGAUACAUAGCCGACCUGAGAGGGUGCUCGGCCACACUGGGACUGGGACACGGCCCAGACUCCUACGGGAGGCAGCAGUAGGGAAUCUUCGGCAAUGGACGGAAGUCUGACCGAGCAACGCCGCGUGAGUGAAGAAGGUUUUCGGAUCGUAAAGCUCUGUUGUAAGAGAAGAACGAGUGUGAGAGUGGAAAGUUCACACUGUGACGGUAUCUUACCAGAAAGGGACGGCUAACUACGUG